rnacentral:rRNA from 1 species
AUUGAACGCUGGCGGCAUGCCUUACACAUGCAAGUCGAACGGUAACGGGCCUUCGGGUGCCGACGAGUGGCGAACGGGUGAGUAAUGCAUCGGAACGUACCUUUCAGUGGGGGAUAACGUAGCGAAAGUUACGCUAAUACCGCAUAUUCUGUGAGCAGGAAAGCAGGGGAUCGCAAGACCUUGCGCUGAUCGAGCGGCCGAUGUCAGAUUAGCUAGUUGGUGAGGUAAAGGCUCACCAAGGCGACGAUCUGUAGCGGGUCUGAGAGGAUGAUCCGCCACACUGGACUGAGACACGGCCCAGACUCCUACGGGAGGCAGCAGUGGGGAAUUUUGGACAUUGGGGGCAACCCUGAUCCAGCCAUGCCGCGUGAGUGAAGAAGGCCUUCGGGUUGUAAAGCUCUUUCGGCCGGGAAGAAAUCGCACAGGCUAAUACCUUGUGCGGAUGACGGUACCGGCAUAAGAAGCACCGGCUAACUACGUGACAGCAGCCGCGGUAACAC